CCUUCUAAAAUGGAAAAUGUCCAUAGAAUAUUCUACCACCCAUAAAUGUAUAAACAUCUAUUUAAGCUAAGUAUAUAUUUUAAUAAAUUUAUAGUUGUAAGAAUUAUAUGAAGUAUAUUAAAUUUGCAAACGUAAAUCAGGUAUUAAAACUUUUGAGUUAAAAUGCCGUUCACUGAUUCAUAUCAAACGAAUUAAAAGGUUGCAUAGUACAAUUAAUAUUUCAAAAGGUUAAUUGGUUAAUUUAAAAUAAUUUAUAGUUCAUGCAAGUAACGUACUUUUUAUGAGACGCCGAAUAGUACUAUAUACAAAAUAUAAUAAGGCUAAAAUUCUUAAGCCGACUUAAGUAUUUUGGGCAGUGGCUAGUCCCAAAAGGUUGAGAGAGUUAAGCGCGUUACGACAAGAGUAAUUUUAAGAUGGGUGACCCAUUAGGAAGUUGAGGUAUCACAGUUAGUAUCAGAGCCAAUUAACAGCCGGAAGUGUAAAAUGAGUCUCGGCUGAGUCAGGGUUAUACAACGGGGAGAACGAGACUCUCAUACUAUUGACUGUUACGGGUAGAGCACGGCUCCCCACAAGAUGGGGACGAGUUUCAUAUCGUCUGAUACUUGUGAGUUUGAACCUGACGAGAACGUCAGGGUUUAAAGAGGAGGAGAAUGUGAGACACCGAAUAGUCUUAUAUAUAAGAUAUAAUAUGACUAAAUCUCUUAACCCGACUUAAGUAUUUUGGAUGGCGACUAAGCCCAAAAGAUUGAGAGAAUUAAGAAUGCUAGUACGAGAGUAAUUUUAGAAUAGGUGACCCAUUGGGAAGUUGG
rnacentral:lncRNA from 1 species